UACGGGGGGGGCAAGCGUUGUUCGGAAUUACUGGGCGUAAAGGGCUCGUAGGCGGCCAACUAAGUCAGACGUGAAAUCCCCUCGGCUUAACCGGGGGAACUGCGUCUGAUACUGGAUGGCUUGAAUCCGGGGAGAGGGAUGCGGAAUUCCAGGUGUAGCGGUGAAAUGCGUAGAUAUCUGGAGGAACACCGGUGGCGAAGGCGGCAUCCUGGACCGGCAUUGACGCUGAGGAGCGAAAAGCGUGGGGGAGCAAACAGGG
rnacentral:rRNA from 1 species